UUGCGUUAGGGAUAGAGGCGGUAUCCUUUCAUGGAGUGGUAACGGAAUAAAAGAUAAAGCCGAAAGCCCGACCGAAG
rnacentral:sRNA from 1 species